UACGAAGGGGGCUAGCGUUGCUCGGAAUCACUGGGCGUAAAGCGCACGUAGGCGGAUUGCUAAGUCAGGGGUGAAAUCCUGGAGCUCAACUCCAGAGCUGCCUUUGAUACUGGCGAUCUCGAGUCCGGGAGAGGUGAGUGGAACUGCGAGUGUAGAGGUGAAAUUCGUAGAUAUUCGCAAGAACACCAGUGGCGAAGGCGGCUCACUGGCCCGGUACUGACGCUGAGGUGCGAAAGCGUGGGGAGCAAACAGG
rnacentral:rRNA from 1 species